rnacentral:miRNA from 1 species
GUAUAUAUGUGUGUGUAUAUAUAUGUGUGUAUAUAUAUAUGUAUAUAUGUGUGUAUAUAUAUAUACACAUAUAUAUGUAUAUAUAUACACACACACAUAUAUAUAUAUAUAUAUAUACACA